AAGAACGAAAUUGGGCAAUGUAGGAAGACACCAGUGCCUGGCAUUUACAUACCAGAAAUACCCUGAAAUGAAACAGUUUGAUUCUCUCAUAGUCCCUGUUCCCAAGUAUCCAGUCAUGAUCACACAUAAUUACGUUAAGUGCCACAAUGAACAGAUAGAGUGGCUAAAGGAGGGGCACAGAUUGAUGAAGAGAGUGGUUUAUUCCUUUGGGAGGUGAGUGGAGCAGGCUUCCCAGAAGAGGUGGGUCAGAAGCAGCUGAUAAAGAUGACCAGGAAUGUCCAAGUGGAAAAGUUGAGAUGGAAGGUGAGCUGGGGAGUGACAUUCCUGACAAAGAAUGACAGUCUGCCAUGGAACAACGUCUGGGAGCCUCUGAAGGGUUUUGAGUAGGAGAAUAACCCAACUACAUCUGCAGUCGACAGCCAUCCUUUGCACAAUAGUGUGAAGGAUAAACUGGGAAGGGAAGUAUCAUUGGCACAGAGGACUUAAGGAGUGACUAUACUAAUCUAGAACAAAGCAUGAUGUGCUGAUCUAAGAAAGCGGCUGUGGGGGAGUCCAUGAUGGGGCAGGAUCAAGAUUUCCAGGAGGUUCGGGUCAUGGUGCUCAAUAGGUUCUGAGGUUGAGGAAGAAGACGUCUUGGAUCACUCGGAGGUUUCAGCUUUAGUGACUGGCUGACAGGUAACUUUCGUGAUGUUUAGGUUAGUCCAACCUGCCCACAUGCUGACCAAUAAA
rnacentral:lncRNA from 10 species